rnacentral:rRNA from 1 species
GUGGGGAAUAUUGGACAAUGGGGGGAACCCUGAUCCAGCCAUGCCGCGUGUGUGAAGAAGGCCUUUUGGUUGUAAAGCACUUUAAGCGAGGAGGAGGCUACCGAGAUUAAUACUCUUGGAUAGUGGACGUUACUCGCAGAAUAAGCACCGGCUAACUCUGUGCCAGCAGCCGCGGUAAUACAGAGGGUGCAAGCGUUAAUCGGAUUUACUGGGCGUAAAGAGCGCGUAGGUGGCAAAUUAAGUCAAAUGUGAAAUCCCCGAGCUUAACUUGGGAAUUGCAUUCGAUACUGGUUGGCUAGAGUAUGGGAGAGGAUGGUAGAAUUCCAGGUGUAGCGGUGAAAUGCGUAGAGAUCUGGAGGAAUACCGAUGGCGAAGGCAGCCAUCUGGCCUAAUACUGACACUGAGGUGCGAAAGCAUGGGGAGCAAACAGGAUUAGAUACCCGUGUAGUCC